UCCAAUGACAGGAAUGUUUAAGUGAGUUAACAAUAGGCUGUAGGUUCUAAAGUAGAUUUUUCAACAGUUGAUACUGCAAGGUGAUCACCUGUAGGUUGUGAGUCCUGACCCUGACUCUCCUGCAACCUGGGGACCUUUGAUAGAUUUACCUGAUUCUGAUUCCGCAGUUCUCCAGAACACACUCAGAUCCUCUCAGCAGGUUGUAGGUUCUGAACCCGGCACACGCGUGCGGGUUCCCCUCAGGUGCUCACCUGCAGGUUGUGGCUGACCUCCAUGCUGACCUUCGGCAGAGACACGGCCACCGCCCGCUCCUCCGUUUUGCUCAGCCAGGUGUCCAGCUGCUUGGGGGUGAGCAGCUUCUCCAGGCGUUCCAGGGGCUCCACGUGGUAGGGCAUGAUCAGGAUCAUGCUGGACUUCUUGUGGGCCAGCGGCAUGUUCAGCACGUACAGCUUGUUCUCAGUGUCCUCGUGGAAGUGGUACAGGCCUGGAGGAACAGAGGGGAAAAAACAAGCCACUUUCAUUCCCCCUCUGCCGUUUUCACAGGCCCAGUGUCUGCACUCCUAAUAAGGCUCAGAAGUUUCUUUGCCUGUUCUUGGCGUGGGGAGCAAGUGGCACAAACAUCAACCUCAAGCCGUCAUCACUGAAGCAUCUUCUACUUGCAUCAUUUUGACGAUGACUAAUUUUCAUGGCGGCGUAAAGCAAAAUGUUGGCUUUUGGAUGAUAUCGUCAAGGACGCUCACCUGUACGGUGCAUCAUGGGAACUGAAAUGGUGAAGGACCGGGUGACGAGGAAGGCACGGUUGUCCACCAUCUUGUGGUGAAACCUCUCGUCCCAGUGAGCUGUGAGGAUUGGAGUGCAGUGUUAACUUGGAGCUACAGCACGUUCUCAGACAUCACAACGUGAAAUGAAAGGGUUAAAGGCCUUUUCUGAUCUGUGCAACACAAUAACGUCCCCUGAAACAAUUCUUGGUCUGGAAUGGGACUGUCCUACAAGUAAUUAGAAAGUUUUCAGAAGUACCUCAACAUUAUCUAUCAUGUGAACAGUCCAGUGGGAGACCUGGAAAGGUUGUCGAGUAAUAGCUGCUCAUAAAAUCGAUUGUUAUGUGGUCAAACCUUUCCACAGCUAUUUGGUGUGAGAAGACCCCUUUCCUUACCUGCCCCAGAGGUAUACCCCAAGAAAUUGUGGAGGGUCUACUCACGUUUGAA